CUCAGCCUGCUAACUAGCUAUGUGGAGGUAUCCCUUCGCGGCCAGCUUCUUAGAGGGACAACGACCUUUUUGGCCACAGAAGUUUGAGGCAAUAACAGGUCUGUGAUGCCCUUAGAUAUUCUGGGCUACACACGCGCUACGCUGAUGUAUUCAACGAGUUUAUAGCCUUGGCCAGCAGGCCCGAGUAAUCUUUGAAAUUUCAUCGUGAUGGGGAUAGAUCAUUGCAAUUGUUUGUCUUGAACGAGGAAUUCUUAGUAAGCGCGAGUCAUCAGAUCACGUUAACUACGUCCCUGCCCUUUGUACGCAUCGCCCGUCGCUGCUACCGAUUGAAUGAUCCGGUAUAAUGUUCCGACCGCGGCGAUGUGGGCGGUCCGCUCCCUGCGACGUUGUGAGAAGUCCAUUGAAGCUUAUCAUUUAGAUUAAGGACAAUUCGUAACAAGGUUUCCGUAGGUGAACCUGUGGAAGGAUCAUUGUAGAAACCUGCCAGGCAAAACGACCCGCGAACUUAUUUAAUAACUGGGGAGCGGUGCGGCUGGGAUGCUUUGGCCUCCGUCUGUGCUGGUUCCUCCUAUAUCCCCGAUGCGCGCGCUUGCGUGUGUGCCGGGUGAUUAACGAACCCUAGCGCGGAAAGUGCAAAUGAAUAUCAAAUUAAAAAGCCUGCCCCUCGCGCCCCGUUCGCGGCGUGCACGGGGGACUUGUGCUUCUUUUGAAACACAAAUGACUCUCGGCAAUAGAUAUCUCGGCUCUCGCAUCAAUGAAAAACGUAGCGAAAUGCAAUACUUGGUGUGAAUUGAAGAAUCCUAUGACCGUUGAGUCUUUGCACUCAAAAUGCCCCUGAAGCCAUUAGGCCAAGGGCACGUCUGCCAAGGCGUCACACAUCGCGUCGCCCCAGCACACCGCGCCCAUUAUCAUGGUCGCGGUGUUGUCGUGGGACAGAUAUUGUCCUCUCGUGCGCCUCGAGCGUGCAGUUGGCCAAAAUGCGAGUCCAUAGCGACGGAUGUCACGAGAAGUGGUGGUUCAAACUCAAAUCUCGUAAUGUCGCAGCUCAAACCCGUCGCAUGUUUGGGUUCCCGACCCUUAUCGAGCUUAGGCGCUCCGACCGCGACCCCAGGUCAGGCGGGACUACCCGCUGAGUUUAUGCAUAUUAAUAUGCGGAGGAAAAUAAACUUACAAGGAUUCCCCUAGUAACCGCGAGCAAACCGGGAACAGUCCAGCUUUAGAAUCGGGCGUCUCCGUCGUCCGAAUUGUAGUCUGGAGAAGCGUCCCUAGCGGCGGACCGGAUCCAACUCCCCUAGAAGGGGGCGCUAGAGAGGCUGAGAAACCCAUUGUGCCCGGACCCUAUCGCACCAUGAGGUGUUGUCUAGUGUCGGGUUGUUUGGGAAUGCAGCCCAAAUCGGGCGGUGAAUUUUGUCCAAGGCUAAAUACGGGCGAGAGGCUGAUAGCGAACAAGUACCAUGAGGGAAAGAUGAAAAGGAAUUUGAAAAUAGAGUCAAAGAGUGCUUGAAAUUGUCGAGAGGGAAGCGGAUGGAGGACGGCGAUGCACCCCGGUCGGAUGUGGAUCGGUGUUGAGCCAGUCCGCCGAUCGAUUCGGGGCGUGGACCUGCAUGGAUUGGGGGGGCGGCCAAAGCCCGGGCUUUUAAUAUGCUCGUGGAACGUUGUCUCCUUGAUUGCGGUAGGCAGCGCGCACCUCUGGCAAGCUUCGACAUCUGCGCGCUCUGGACCCUGGCAUGUGGGCUCCCCAUUCGACCCGUAUUGAAACACGGACCAAGGAGUCUGACAUUUGGGCGAGUCAACGGGCCAGUAACCCCGUAAGGCGUAAGAAAGCUGAUUGGUGGGAUCCCCCUGAAGGGGUACACCGCAGACCAACCUUGAUCUUCUGUGAAGGCUUCGAGUGUGAGCAUACUUGUCGAGACACGAAACAUGGUGAACUAUGCCCGAGCGAGGCGAAGCCAGCGGAAACUCUGGUGGAGGCCUGCAACGAUACUGACGUGCUAAUCAUUCAUCUAACUUGGGCAUAGGGGCGAAAGACUAAUCGAACUGCCUAGUAGCUGGUUCCCUCCGAAGUUUCCCUCAGGAUUACUGGAGCUUGCAUGCAAUUUCCAUCACGUAUAGCCAAUGAUUAGAGGCAUCAGGGUUGCAACGCCCUCGACCUAUUCUCAAACUAUAAAUAGGUAGGACGGCGCGACUUGUUUGUUGAGUCGCGCCGAGGAAUUAAGAGGACCAAGUGGGCCAUUUUUGGUAAGAAGAACAUGCGAUGCACGAUGAACUGGAAGCCAGGUUACGGUGCCAAACUACACUCUAACCAAUAUCCCACAAAGGGUGUUGGUCGAUUAAGAUAGCGGAACGGUGGUCAUGGAAGUCGAAAUCCGGUAAGAAUGUGUAACAACUCACCUACCGAAUCAAGUAGCCCCGAAAAUUGAUGGCGCUUAAGCGCGCGACCUAAACCCGGACUGUGAGGCAAGUGACGCGCCCUGAUGAGUAGGAGGGAGCGGUGGUCGCUGCAAAACCUUCAGCGUGAGUCUCGACGGAGUGGCCGUCGGUGCAGAUCGCAGGAAAUGGCAUGGCGUGGCCAUGGAAUGACUCAUGACGUCGCAGGACAUGGCAGGGCGUGGCCAUGGUACGAGUCAGGAUGUCGCAGGACGCAUUAGGACAUGGCCAUGGUACGUGUCAGGACGCGUCAAGACAUGGCCAUGGCACGUGUUAGGACCCGUCAGGACAUGGCAGGGCGUGGCCAUCGCACGAGUCGGGACGUCACAAUACAUGGCAUGGCGUGGCCAUGUCACGAGUCAGGACGUCGCAGGACGCGUUAGGACAUGGCAUGGUACGUGUCAUGACGCGUCAGGACAUGGCAGGGCGUGGCCAUGGCACGAGUUGGGACGUCACAAGACAUGGCAGGGCGUGGCCAUGGCACGAGUCAGGACGUCGUAGGACGCGUCAGGACAUGGCCAUGGCACGUAUCAGGAUGCNNNNNNNNNNNNNNNNNNNNNNNNNNNNNNNNNNNNNNNNNNNNNNNNNNNNNNNNNNNNNNNNNNNNNNNNNNNNNNNNNNNNNNNNNNNNNNNNNNNNNNNNNNNNNNNNNNNNNNNNNNNUCAGGACAUGCCCAUGGCACGUGUAUGGACAUGGCAAGGCGUGUCCAUGGCUCGAGACAGGAUGUCGCAAGACAUACGUGUCAGGACGUGUCAGGACAUGGCCAUGGCACGACGUCACACCAAGCCGCACAACGUCGCUCCAAGCUGCACCACCACGUCUAUUUCUAGCCAAUGCUUAGAAUCAUGUCAAGCACAAUGAUGUUGGUGAUUGUUGGCGGCGGCGAUGGAAAGUCGGGGUGGUUCGAGCGGUAGCGUCUGACGACGGUCGCUCGAUGCUUGGUGGUUGACGGCGGUUUCUUCAAAUCCUAAUCACUUGUAGUGGUUGGCAACAUGUCAUGCUCAAUGAUGUUGGUGGUCGUUUGUGGCGGUGGUGGAAAGUCGCGGUGGUUCGAGCGGUAUCCACUGGCGACGGUUGGUCGACGCUUUGUGGUUGGCGACGGUUUUUUCAAAUCGGAAUCCCUUGUUGUGGUUGAGACAAUGGAGGUGCUGCGUGCUUAUUAGAGGUUGGUCAUCUAUACGCCUUUAUAAUAAUAUUAUGCAUUUUUCCUUUUUUUUAUAUAUUUUUUAGUAAUUUUUAUUCAUUUUUUGUUAUUUUAAAUUAUUUUUAUGUCACUUUUCAAUAAAAAUAUUUACUCUUUUAUAUGUAGUACUAUUAAAAGAUGUAUUGGAAUUUUUCUCCAUCAUUUUUUCUAUUUUUAUUAUAAUUUUCAUAUUUUUAGUAUUUUAUUAAGUAUUUUUCGUUUUUAAAUAAAGAUAUUUCAAAAAAUAUAUUUUUUUUUGUAAAAAAUAUCAUUUACAAUGUAUAAAAGUCAUUUGUGAAUAUAUUAGCCAAGUUGUACUUUGGUUUGUGUUAUUUGGUGUUGUACAUGUCUAUUAUGAUUCUGUAGCCAAAACAUGUCUACUCCUGAAACUUGGGUUUUUUUUUUAAGUAUAUAUAAGGGGGGUAGAGGUGUUGAGAGGCACCUCAAGUGUUUUGCUAUUUGGUGUUUUACAUGUGUAUUAUGAUUCUUUGGCAAAAACAUGUGUACUCGUGAAACUUGGGUUUUUUUUUAAGCAUAUAUAAGGGGGUAGAGGUGUUGAGAGGCACCUCAUGUGCUUGUUGCCAGGAAGGGGCGGUCAUGCAUGGGAGAUGCUUGCAUGGGCCGUGGGCAUUGGGGGCAUGCACGGCUUGUCCAUGCUACGUCCUCAAUGUUCCCAAACCGCGCCGACAAGUACUCGUGUGGGCUUUUAGUGCACCUUUUGUGGCACCGCUCGUGGCAAUCAUUGGCUUUUGGCAACAAACUCUAGAGCGUCAUGCAAGUAGCUCCGCAAGGUGCCAUGCGCAUGAGGUGAAGCUCAGUACUUGUUCAUCGCCAAUGGAUGUUGCGGGCAAAAUCGGGAGGCGACAUCGCUCGUGGCGGAUGAUGGCUUUUGACAGCAGAACAACAAAGCGUCGUGCAAGUAGCGCCGCAAGGUGCUGUGCGCAUGGGGCGAAGCUUAGUAAGUUGUUGAUUGUUGGUUGUUCAGGGUUGUGUAUGGAAUCUCUUGUGGUGGCUGAUGGCUUUCGACAACGAGCGGCGAAGCAUCGUGCAAGUAGCACCGCGAGGUGUCGUGCGCAUGGGGCGAAGCUCAUUAGAUGUUAAUUUCCAUCGGUUGUUGCGGGCAACAUCGCUCAUGGAGAUUGAUGGCUUUCAGCAAUGGAAUGGCAGAGCGUCGUGCAAGUAACGCAGCAAGGUGCCGUGCGCAUUAGGCGAAGCUUAGUAAGUUGCCUAUUGCUCAAGUAGCCCCGAAGUUGUGUCUGUAAACCCCCCCUCCUACCCCUCCCCCCNNNNNNNNNNNNNNNNNNNNNNNNNNNNNNNNNNNNNNNNNNNNNNNNNNNNNNNNNNNNNNNNNNNNNNNNNNNNNNNNNNNNNNNNNNNNNNNNNNNNNNNNNNNNNNNNNNNNNNNNNNNNNNNNNNNNNNNNNNNNNNNNNNNNNNNNNNNNNNNNNNNNNNNNNNNNNNNNNNNNNNNNNNNNNNNNNNNNNNNNNNNGAAACAUCGCGAGGCGACAUCGCUCGUGGCGGCUGAUGGCUUUUGGAAACAAAAUGGUAAAGCAUCAUGCAAGUAGCUCUUCAAGGUGCCAUGCGCACGAGGCAAAGCUUAGUAAGUUUUUGAUUGCCAUCGGUUGUUGCUGGAAACAUCGAGAGGCGACAUCGCUCGUGGCGGCUGAUGGCUUUUGGAAACAAAUGGCAAAGCAUCGUGCAAGUAGUUCCGCAAGGUGCCAUGCUCACGGGGCGAAGCUUAGUAAGUUGCUGAUGCCAACACUUGUUGCGGGAAACAUCGGAAGGCGACAUCGCUCGUGGCGGCUGAUGGCUUUUCACAAUGGAACGGAAAAACAUCGUGCAAGUAGCGGCGCAAGGGGCCAUACGCAUGGGGCGAAGCUCAAUAAAUUGCCUAUUGCCAUCGGUUGUUGUGGGUUGUGUCUGGAAUUGUUCAAACGCCUUAUUUGUGCUUUGCGGGGCUUGUCUUGGCUUUGCAAUGUUGGCAUAGGGAACAACACAUACUUGUGCGUCACGUGUUGGAGAUGGUGUUGGCUUUGUAUCGGCAAGGCAAGUGUACGUGCGGCACAUGAGUGGUGUUCGGCUAGUGUAGCUAGGUUGGAUCAUUGCUCGAGCAGCGACGUCCUAGCUUGCAUCCCAUCUCAGUCAUGUCACAAGCCCAAAUUAGGCUUGUUCGACAUCAGUUUUCUGUGUUGCAUACCUAAUGCCAAAGAGUAAUCAAGCACGAUUGGUCGCCUUUUGCCCCUCGCGUUCGACGUGGGGGGAGAGCCAAAAGCUGCAGUUGUGUCCCAGGUCGUCCUGGCUUCACCUUGCAAGGGUUUGGUCCACGACUUAGCAUGCUUGGGCUCUCGGAUUUGGUUAACGCAAUGGGCACGGGGCCUUCAUUGGCUCCUAUCUUCCCAAAGAAUGCUCCUUACGAAUGAUGGUUGUGCUCGCCUUGGACUUGGCCGUUCCCUUUUGGGUCGGCCAAGCUCAUGCAACGCCGUCGUCAAUGAGGAAUACUAGCUGGUUGAUCCUGCUAGUACACAUUUGCUUGUCUCAAAGAUUAAGCCAUGCAUGUGUAAGUAUGAACAAAUUAAGACUGUGAAACGACGAAUGGCUCAUUAAAUCAGUUAUAGUUUAUUUGAUGGUAUCUACCACUCGGAUAACCGUAGUAAUCCUAGAGCUAAUACGUGCAACAAACCCCGACUUCUGGAAGGGAUGCCUUUAUUAGAUAAAAGGGGGACGCGGGCUCUGCCUGUUGCUGCGAUGAUGCAUGAUAACUCGACGGAUCGCACGACCAUCGUGUCGGCGACGCAUCAUUCAAAUUUCUGCCCUAUCAACUUUCAAUGGUAGGAUAGUGGCCUACUGUUACACCCCUAAUAUUGACUUGACGGAUGUCAAGAAGAAUUCAUGUCAAGGGCUUGUGCAUUGACCCUUGACAUGGAUUCGUUAAAGUGUUGGCAAGCAAUGUACAAGGCUGGGCUUUUGGCUAAGUUUGUGAUGGACUUAGGCAAGGUAGCUACGCAAGGCAACAGGAGUGUUGGCAAGGCGGCCUUGGUUCGUGGGCAUCGGUAAAUGGCAAAUGGAAGCAUGGCACUUUACAAAUGCAUGUGCGGAUCCGUGAGACGACUUAAUUCAUAGCAGGGCGUGGCUAUAAAAUUAAGGGCGAGGCAAGCUCCAAGGCAAAGCUGGGCUGGAGAUAAAGCAAACAUGGGCAAGGCUAGAGGCCAUCGUGCAUGGCAUGUGACCAAGUGGUGUGCAAGAAAUGUGCUUGGAAGUUGAAGACAUGAUCUAAGAACAUGAGCAUGUGGCUAUAAAGUGGAAGACGUGGUAGAAACUGUCCGUAACUGUCUAAGGCAUGUACAUGGCACAUGGUAGAAACUGCCCCUUUGUAACUGCCAUUGGCAGCCCCUUUAUAUAUAUUGUAUCUUCGUUUGGGGAGAACACAAGUAGCAUUACAUAUGUGAGCCAAGUCUAAAAUGAGAGUCCUUUGAUUAUUCUGCGAUGAUUAAUAAAGGUCAAGUAGCACUACAUAUGUAUGCGAAGUCUAAAGCUAGAGUCGUUCGUAUAUUCUACGAGAAUUAAUAAAGGUUGGGUUUUACCAGUAAACUCUCGGUGUGUUCUUAGUUUGGCUAAAGUCUGAAAAUUCGAAGUUAGGCUGUGUGUGUGGGAAAAAGUGAAGGCUGAGUGGCUGUGACUGCUGCUACCGUGCAGUGUCGAUUUUUGCAAAAAAUUGGCCCUAUAUCAAUUGGUAUCAGAGCUUUGGUUAUAACUCUUGAUCAUGGCGGGUGGGUCUACUUCAGACUUACGUGAUAGAGUGCAACGGUUGGAGGCACUAAUCGGCGUGACCGAUGAUCCUUUGGAUAUGGCAGAUCUUAUUACAGAGAUUUACCGUCUAAAGGAUGGGGCAGAUCAGUUUCGCGAUGGAGUCCAACAAAGUUGUGAAUCAACGGUAUCAGCAUGACUGAUGAUCCUUUAGAUUUGGCAGAUCUGAUUAUAGAGAUUUACCGUCUAAAGGAUGGGGUGGAUCAGUUUCGCGAUGGGAUCCAACUGAGUUGUGAGUCAAUGGAUGACGUAGUUGAAGACCUAAAAAGGAGGUCGAAAACUUGAAGGCCGAAAUCACUGUUCUUCGAAGGGCGUUGGCUGGUCCAAGCCAAGGAACUGAAGAAUUCUCGAAGGUAAAGAUUCUUGAUCCAAAGGCGUUUGGUGGAACAGUUAGUACAAAAGAAUUGGAAAAUUUUCUGUGGGACAUGGAACAAUAUUUUGUGGCUGCCAAAGUUCCAAAUGCGGAGAAGGUCACAAUUACUAGCAUGUACCUAACAGGAGAUGCUAAAUUAUGGUGGAGAACUCGUAUGGUGGACGAUGAAAGUGCGGGAAGACCGAAAAUUGAUACAUGGGAGAAACUCAUAAAAGAAAUGAAGGACCAAUUCUUGCCUUGCAAUGCAUCUUGGCUUGCUAGAGACCAUUUGAAACGCUUGCAACAAACAGGAUCUAUUCGGGAUUAUAUUAAGGAAUUCUCUUCCUUAAUGUUUGAUAUUCAAAACAUGUUGGAGGAUGACAAAUUGCAUAAUUUUAUUUCUGGAAUGCAAGCAUGGGCACAGAAUAUACUUAGGAGACAAAUCGUGAAGGAUAUCCCAAGCGCAAUGGCUGCAGCUGAUUCCUUGGUGGAUUAUCGCAGCACCCGUACUCGUUCAGAUAUUCCUUCUACUUCAAAACCUAACAAACGGGUGGAGAAGAAAGGGGAAUGGAGGAAGGAAGUUCGAGAGGAAGUCGUUGAGAAGGGAAAGGUUGUCGACGGGGAUGUUCAAAACAAAGGCGUCGCGAUAAGGGUCGGGGAGCCCAAACAUGCAGUGAAGAAGUCGUUUGAGAAGGGUAAGGUUGUUGAUGGUGCUGUUCAAAACAAAGGCGUCGCAAAUAGGAAAAUUGAUGGUCGCUGGAAGUGUGAAGGACCUCAUCUUGCCAGAGACUGUCCAAAUCGGGGGCGGGUAAAUGCUUUGCUUGCUACACAAAAUAAUCAGAAUAGAGAAGGCGAAGAAGUUGUUGCUGCCUUAGUAAAUCCUUUGCAAUUAUUGAAUGUUAUCUCAUUGCUGAAUGCUACAAGUAACGAGACGAACCCUCAUUCUUUGCUGAUACACAUCGAAAUGAGAAUUGGGGACAAAAGUGUGAUAACUAUGGUAGAUACUGGUGCUAGUCACACCUUUGUUUGUGCCAGUUUGGUGCAAAAGUAUCGAUUGAGAGUGUCGAAAUGUCCCUCUUACAUAAACACUAUGAAUACCAAAGCACGAGCCAUUGUGGGCAUGGCUUAUGAUGUUCCUAUGUCUGUUGGGAACUUGAAAGGGAAGGUCAAUUUGAUGGUGAUUCCAAAGGAAGAGUUUGAGGUGAUCCUCGGAAUUGACAUCAUGCGGAAACAUCGCUUUGUUCCAAUGCCUCACUUGGACAGAGUGAUGAUCAUGAAUGAUAUUUCUCCUGGUUUUGUGAAAGUUGUUUAUCCUUAUGGAAGAGAAUAAAUCCAACGUAAGGCUUCGUUAAUUUCUGCCAUGAUGGUUGAUAAAGGUUUGAAGAAGGGAGGUGAGACUUUCCUUGCUGCUGGGAUUGAAGUGAAGCCUGAUGUUAAGGUGGAAGUGACGGACUGAGUUGCUCAAAUUUUGAAUGACUUUGCUGAUGUGAUGCAACCACGGAGGGCUAUUGAUCACAAGAUAGAGUUGAUGCCGGGUUCGAUGCCUCUUGCUCAACCUGAUAGGGAGUUGAACAAGGUGACGGUGAAAAAUAACUAUAUUUUUCCGUUGGUGCAAGACUUGAUGGACAGAUUGAGCAAGGCAUGCUGGUUCAUGAAGCUUGAUAUACAGUCUGGUUAUUGGCAGGUACGGAUAGCUGAAGGUGAUGAGUCUAAAACUACUUGUGUUACGAGGUAUGGCUCAUAUGAAUUCCUUGCUGAGCCGUUCCGAUUGAUAAAUGCCCCUGCUACAUUUUGCCAUCUCAUGAAUGAUGGGCUGUAUGAGUACAUAGAUGACUUUGUCGUUGUCUACUUAGACGACAUUGUUAUCUAUAGUCAGAAUUUGGAUGAACAUAUGUCACACUUGAUAAAAGUGAUGUCUCGGUUGAGGGAGUACAAGCUAUAUGUUAAAAUAGGGAAGUGUGAAUUUGCUAAAUAGGAGAUCAAAUUUCCUGGGCACUUGGUGAGCAAGUACCAGGUGCGGAUGGACCCGAACAAGGUGCAUUGUCUCGGUUGAGGAAGUAUAAGCUGUAUGUGAAAAUAGAGAAGUGCGAAUUUGUUCAACAGGAUAUCAAAUUUCCUUGGCACUUGGUGAGCAAGUACCAGGUGCGGAUGGACCCGAACAAGGUGCAGGUCAUUGUGGAAUGGCAUGCGCCUAAAUCUGUGAAAGAGUUGAGAUCUUUCCUCGGGUUGGCUAA
rnacentral:lncRNA from 1 species